AAUAGAUACCCUGGUAGUCCACGCCGUAAACGAUGAGUGCUAGGUGUUAGGGGGUUUCCGCCCCUUAGUGCUGCAGCUAACGCAUUAAGCACUCCGCCUGGGGAGUACGGUCGCAAGACUGAAACUCAAAGGAAUUGACGGGGGCCCACACAAGCGGUGGAGCAUGUGGUUUAAUUCGAAGCAACGCGAAGAACCUUACCAGGUCUUGACAUCCCGCUGACCGCCAUGGAGACAUGGCCUUCCCUUCGGGGACAGCGGUGACAGGUGGUGCAUGGUUGUCGUCAGCUCGUGUCGUGAGAUGUUGGGUUAAGUCCCGCAACGAGCGCAACCCUUGUCCUUAGUUGCCAUCAUUCAGUUGGGCACUCUAAGGAGACUGCCGUACAAAUACGGAGGAAGGUGGGGAUGACGUCAAAUCAUCAUGCCCCUUAUGACCUGGGCUACACACGUGCUACAAUGGGUGGUACAAAGGGCAGCGAACCCGCGAGGGGGAGCGAAUCCCAAAAAGCCACUCUCAGUUCGGAUUGCAGG
rnacentral:rRNA from 1 species